rnacentral:rRNA from 1 species
GAUGAACGCUGGCGGCGUGCCUAAUACAUGCAAGUCGAGCGAACGGACGAGAAGCUUGCUUCUCUGAUGUUAGCGGCGGACGGGUGAGUAACACGUGGAUAACCGACCUAUAAGACUGGGAUAACUUCGGGAAACCGGAGCUAAUACCGGAUGAUAUUUUGAACCGCAUGGUUCAAAAGUGAAAGACGGUCUUGCUGUCACUUAUAGAUGGAUCCGCGCUGCAUUAGCUAGUUGGUAAGGUAACGGCUUACCAAGGCAACGAUGCAUAGCCGACCUGAGAGGGUGAUCAGCCACACUGGAACUGAGACACGGUCCAGACUCCUACGGGAGGCAGCAGUAGGGAAUCUUCCGCAAUGGGCGAAAGCCUGACGGAGCAACGCCGCGUGAGUGAUGAAGGUCUUCGGAUCGUAAAACUCUGUUAUUAGGGAAGAACAUAUGUGUAAGUAACUGUGCACAUCUUGACGGUACCUAAUCAGAAAGCCACGGCUAACUACGUG